rnacentral:rRNA from 6 species
CCCCGGUAAACGGCGGCCGUAACUAUAACGGUCCUAAGGUAGCGAAAUUCCUUGUCGGGUAAGUUCCGACCUGCACGAAUGGCGUAAUGAUGGCCAGGCUGUCUCCACCCGAGACUCAGUGAAAUUGAACUCGCUGUGAAGAUGCAGUGUACCCGCGGCAAGACGGAAAGACCCCGUGAACCUUUACUAUAGCUUGACACUGAACAUUGAGCCUUGAUGUGUAGGAUAGGUGGGAGGCUUUGAAGUGUGGACGCCAGUCUGCAUGGAGCCGACCUUGAAAUACCACCCUUUAAUGUUUGAUGUUCUAACGUGGACCCGUAAUCCGGGUUGCGGACAGUGUCUGGUGGGUAGUUUGACUGGGGCGGUCUCCUCCUAAAGAGUAACGGAGGAGCACGAAGGUUGGCUAAUCCUGGUCGGACAUCAGGAGGUUAGUGCAAUGGCAUAAGCCAGCUUGACUGCGAGCGUGACGGCGCGAGCAGGUGCGAAAGCAGGUCAUAGUGAUCCGGUGGUUCUGAAUGGAAGGGCCAUCGCUCAACGGAUAAAAGGUACUCCGGGGAUAACAGGCUGAUACCGCCCAAGAGUUCAUAUCGACGGCGGUGUUUGGCACCUCGAUGUCGGCUCAUCACAUCCUGGGGCUGAAGUAGGUCCCAAGGGUAUGGCUGUUCGCCAUUUAAAGUGGUACGCGAGCUGGGUUUAGAACGUCGUGAGACAGUUCGGUCCCUAUCUGCCGUGGGCGCUGGAGAACUGAGGGGGGCUGCUCCUAGUACGAGAGGACCGGAGUGGACGCAUCACUGGUGUUCGGGUUGUCAUGCCAAUGGCACUGCCCGGUAGCUAAAUGCGGAAGAGAUAAGUGCUGAAAGCAUCUAAGCACGAAACUUGCCCCGAGAUGAGU